AUUAUAGUUGCGCAGGCACUUUGGUGACUCUAGAGAACAUCGGGCCAAUCGCACGUCCCCGUGACGGCGAUUUUGCAUUCGGAUGUCUGCCCAAUCAACUUUCGAUGCCACUUUCUGUGCCUACCAUGGUGACCAUGGGUAACGGGGAAUCAGGGUUCGAUUCCGGAGAGGGAACCUGAGAAAUGGCUACCACAUCCAAGGAAGGCAGCAGACGCGCAAAUUACCCACUCCCGACACGGGGAUGUAGUGAUGAU